CACCCGUUCCCAUACCGAACACGGAAGUUAAGCCCUCCAGGGCCGAUGGUACUGCGCUGGUAACGGCGUGGGAGAGUAGGUCGCUGCCGGGG
rnacentral:rRNA from 1 species